rnacentral:rRNA from 1 species
UACAGAGGGUGCGAGCGUUAAUCGGAAUUACUGGGCUUAAAGGGUACGUAGGCGGCCCUGUCAGUCGGGUGUGAAAUCCCACGGCUCAACCGUGGAACUGCGCCCGAUACUGCAGGGCUUGAGGGAGACAGAGGUAAGCGGAACUGAUGGUGGAGCGGUGAAAUGCGUUGAUAUCAUCAGGAACACCAGUGGCGAAAGCGGCUUACUGGGUCUCUUCUGACGCUGAGGUACGAAAGCUAGGGGAGCGAAGGGG